rnacentral:rRNA from 1 species
AGUUCGGACUGCAGGCUGCAACUCGCCUGCACGAAGCCGGAGUUGCUAGUAAUCGCGGAUCAGAAUGCCGCGGUGAAUGCGUUCCCGGGUCUUGUACACACCGCCCGUCACACCAUGGAAGUUGGGGGUGCCCAAAGCCGGCAGGGAAAUAUGCUGUCUAAGGCAAAACCAAUGACUGGGGUGAAGUCGUAACAAGGUAAC